rnacentral:lncRNA from 13 species
UUGCCUGACUUCAAGGAUCUGGGGGUGGAGGCUGUUGUCCUCAUCUUGAAGAAAAAUGGAGAACAAAAGUGGUGGGCAACAGGUUGUCACAGAGAAUUUGACCUUUCCUUUGCAGGGAUUUUCACUCACGCUUCCUGCAGUUAGUCUGUGCGUAUGGUCAAGCUAAUGGGUUUUGCGAGAGAUAGCUUGAGCUGACAAUGACUACUCCUGGCUUUCCAUAAACAAGAUGUGGUAUGUGUCACGCCUGCUCCCGCUCCACGUCAUGCUUCAACCAGCCAUCAGGCUCCCGCGCCUCAGCCGGUUCGUCAGGCUCCCACAUCUCAGCGGGAUCAUCAGGCUUUCACGCCUCAACCGGAUCAUCAGGCUCCCACGCCUCAGCCGGUUCGCCAGGCUCCCGCUCUCCGCUCUCUCAGGUGAAAACACAACUGGACCACAGGAGGGUCGGAAGAGCCAACUACAUCUAGUUCCGGAGAUGAAUGUGGUGGAAAAGGUUGGUUCCUCUGCUGCUCUUUUAAGGAGGGGACCAACGUCAUUAGAUGUCUGGGGCAUGAGUUAACCAUCAAGUGACUGUUAUCUUUUGGAAACAAACAGCUGGAAGACAUACUGCAAAAGGCAGGGGACUUAAAUUUUGAAAAUAGUAGGUAUAAAUUAAUUAAAUCUUUGUCUCGUUCUAUCUUGUUAUUGUUCAAUGUGUAACGGAUGUGAAACGCUAGCUUAGUUAGCGGUGGUUCACGCUAAAUAGUGUUUCAAUCAGUGACGUCACUUGCUCUGAGACCUUGAAGUAGUUGUUCCCCUUGCUCUGCAAGGGCCGUGGCUUUUGUGGAGCGAUGGGUAACGAUGCUUCGAGGGUGACUGUUGAUGUGUGCAGAAGGUCCCUGGUUCGCGCCCGGGUAUGGGCGAGGGGACGGUCUAAAGUUAUACUGUUACAUUGAUGCUGUUGACCCGGAUCACUGGUUGCUGCGGAAAAGGAGGAGGUCAAAAGGGGGGUGAGUGUAACGGAUGUGAAACGCUAGCUUAGUUAACGGUGGUUCGCACUAAAUAGUGUUUCAAUCGGUGACGUCACUUGCUCUGAGAUCUUGAAGUAGUGGUUCCCCUUGCUCUGCAAGGGCCGCGGAUUUUGUGGAGCGAUGGGUAACGAUGCUUCGUGGGUGACUGUUGUUGAUGUGUGCAGAGGGUCACUGGUUCGCACCCGGGUAUGGGCGAUGGGACGGUCUAAAGUUAUACUGUUACAAAUGUUCCAAUUAAAAUAUUACUUGUGAUAACUGAAUAGAUAUUGUAGGCGCCCAGCCCCUGAAAUUACUCUUAACAACUCUCUGCAAAAAUAAGUUGUGUAAAAAAUAAGUAAGAGAAUGUCUGCACAAUAAUAUAUAUUUGCAGAUAGAAGUUGCUGGUUUGGUAAGGGGUUAAUGUUUCCCUCUCUGAUCAUGUGUAGAAUAAUUAAGUGAUAAUGCCCUCGAAGCCGGUGUUCGGAGGAUAUAUUGGCACGGGUGUUGUCAGGCCUGAGACGAAGUUGAAGGCUGGCAAACUGUGCCAAUAUAUCCUCCAACAACUGGCUUCAAGGGCAUUAUCACUUUAAUACAACGGAUCACCAAGAUAUUCAAAUAAUGAUUGAUAUAUUUUUAUAAAAAACAUUAUUUUGAUUAAUUUAUUCAUACUAUUUCAUCCUUCCACAAGAUAUAGUCCCGACACAAAUCUAGGGUUGCUACCCAAGCUGGCUGGUUGUUCAUUCUAUCUGUUCGUUGGCCGGAGACACGACCUAGUUGUUCAGUCUUUUUGUUCUGUAUCUAUGGAUGUAACCCAGUCGUUCUUUCUAAAUGUUUCAUUGCCAUACUGGCUGGCAACGUUUUUAUCCCUUGGUUGCUAGCUAGCCAACAACAGCUCACUUACAGUCAGGUCUAACAGUGCAGCCAGAAUAACAACAGUAGCUGAAUUUGCAUUUGUUUACUCUGUUUUCUAGUGACAUUCUUUUGCAUAUAUCCAUAACAAUGAGCUAAUAAGGCGCGAUAUCGCCUGGUAUAGAAAAUGUGCUCUUUCGACAGGGCACUGUUGUUCAGAGGAGCUAUACAACAAAACAACAGCUAACACAAUCACUUCAAACUGAAGAUGGAAAGACUGCAAACUAGCUGUCUUUCAAUCUACAUUUCUUUGUAUGUAUCCAUAAAAAUUAUGCCAGAUGAUUCAUGAUUUUGAUUGGCUGAGAAACUCUGCCUGCCUGUCUGUCUUGUCUCGACUCCCAACAAAUUCAUUACUAGGGGACAGCUGGAGAUUGAAUUUGAAUAUUGAAACAAUGUUGCAAAUGUCGGAGAGACAGACAGCAAGGUUUACACAAAUCUCUGCUGUUUAUAACUAAAUGUUAGUCUGAAUGAAAUGUGAGAUAAUGUCUAGAUGCUUUUUAUAGUGGGGAUCAAGUUCAUAAUCUACAUGGCUUGGCUGAUGAGACAGUGGAUUGCACAGUAAGAUGGAACAGAGUAAAUUGGCAUUUUAACAUCAUAGAUUUAGCCGGUUGGAACUUGUCGAAUAGACACCACCUGGAAUGCGGUUUUAAACAAUCUGCAUUCUGGAUUAGAACCACCCAUUGAACAAAGCCCUUUUUAAACCUGUUUCCCCCGGCAGCAGAUGGGAGAGUCCGAGUUCAGAUGGUCACACAGUACUCCCUUCUAUCUCGGGUCCCUCAGGCACGGGGCAGUUAACUUCAAGUGAGGAAACACCUCACGGCACCAUGCCUCUGACCUAAGACCUAAAACUCGUAUGACCUACAACUUGUAGGCCUAUGUGUCACGCCUGCUCCCGCUCCCCCUCCCUGGCGCUUGAGGGCGCCAGGCUACCAGUCUUUACAUGCUCCUGUCACCAUCAUUACGUGCAGCAGCGCUCAUUAGACUCACCUGGACUCCUUCACGUGGUAGAUUGCCCCUGUAUAUCUGCCUGUUCCUCGGUGGUGUUCCCUGUGUCCUCAUUAAUUGUUGUUAUGUGUUCCUGUCCAGACGUUGUUCCUGUUCUGUUUCAUGUCCGUCAGCUAUUAAAAUGUCACUCCCUGUACAUGCUUCUUAUCUCCUGCGUCGAUCCUUUCACUAUGUAUGCUGUAUAUGAAUAUGUGUAGCCUGGCCUAUAUGAUGACUAUAUUCAACCCUAGCCAAUGUAGUGAUUCAGGCGUUCAGAUAGUGAAAACUGAUGCGUUUUAAGCUCUCGCU